GGAGGGAUCAUUACCGAGUUUACAACUCCCAAACCCCUGUGAACAUACCUAUACGUUGCCUCGGCGGAUCAGCCCGCGCCCUGUAAAAAGGGACGGCCCGCCCGAGGACCCUAAACUCUGUUUUUAGUGGAACUUCUGAGUAAAACAAACAAAUAAAUCAAAACUUUCAACAACGGAUCUCUUGGUUCUGGCAUCGAUGAAGAACGCAGCAAAAUGCGAUAAGUAAUGUGAAUUGCAGAAUUCAGUGAAUCAUCGAAUCUUUGAACGCACAUUGCGCCCGCCAGUAUUCUGGCGGGCAUGCCUGUUCGAGCGUCAUUUCAACCCUCAAGCUCAGCUUGGUGUUGGGACUCGCGGUAACCCGCGUUCCCCAAAUCGAUUGGCGGUCACGUCGAGCUUCCAUAGCGUAGUAAUCAUACACCUCGUUACUGGUAAUCGUCGCGGCCACGCCGUAAAACCCCAACUUCUGAAUGUUGACCUCGGAUCAGGUAGG
rnacentral:rRNA from 1 species